rnacentral:lncRNA from 1 species
AUGUUGUACAGUAUUCACCCAAUCCAGUCAUAUAUCAAUUACACCACCAUGUUAUACAGUAUUCACCCAAUCCAGUCAUAUAUCAAUUACACCACCAUGUCCUACAGUAUUCACCCAAUCCAGUCAUAUAUCAAUUACACCACCAUGUCCUACAGUAUUCACCCAAUCCAGUCAUAUAUCAAUUACACCACCAUGUUAUACAGUAUUCACCCAAUCCAGUCAUAUAUCAAUUACACCACCAUGUCCUACAGUAUUCACCCAAUCCAGUCAUAUAUCAAUUACACCACCAUGUCCUACAGUAUUCACCCAAUCCAGUCAUAUAUCAAUUACACCACCAUGUCCUACAGUAUUCACCCAAUCCAGUCAUAUAUCAAUUACACCAUGUCCUACAGUAUUCACCCAAUCCAGUCAUAUAUCAAUUACACCACCAUGUCCUACAGUAUUCACCCAAUCCAGUCAUAUAUCAAUUACACCACCAUGUCCUACAGUAUUCACCCAAUCCAGUCAUAUAUCAAUUACACCACCAUGUCCUACAGUAUUCACCCAAUCCAGUCAUAUAUCAAUUACACCACCAUGUCCUACAGUAUUCACCCAAUCCAGUCAUAUAUCAAUUACACCACCAUGUCCUACAGUAUUCACCCAAUCCAGUCAUAUAUCAAUUACACCACCAUGUCCUACAGUAUUCACCCAAUCCAGUCAUAUAUCAAUUACACCACCAUGUCCUACAGUAUUCACCCAAUCCAGUCAUAUAUCAAUUACACCACCUUGUCCUACAGUAUUCACCCAAUCCAGUCAUAUAUCAAUUACACCACCAUGUCCUACAGUAUUCACCCAAUCCAGUCAUAUAUCAAUUACACCACCAUGUCCUACAGUAUUCACCCAAUCCAGUCAUAUAUCAAUUACACCACCAUGUCCUACAGUAUUCACCCAAUCCAGUCAUAUAUCAAUUACACCACCAUGUCCGACAGUAUUCACCCAAUCCAGUCAUAUAUCAAUUACACCACCUUGUCCUACAGUAUUCACCCAAUCCAGUCAUAUAUCAAUUACACCACCAUGUCCUACAGUAUUCACCCAAUCCAGUCAUAUAUCAAUUACACCACCAUGUCCUACAGUAUUCACCCAAUCCAGUCAUAUAUCAAUUACACCACCAUGUCCGACAGUAUUCACCCAAUCCAGUCAUAUAUCAAUUACACCACCAUGUGUACAGUAUUCACCCAAUCCAGUCAUAUAUCAAUUACACCACCUUGUCCUACAGUAUUCACCCAAUCCAGUCAUAUAUCAAUUACACCACCAUGUCCUACAGUAUUCACCCAAUCCAGUCAUAUAUCAAUUACACCACCAUGUCCUACAGUAUUCACCCAAUCCAGUCAUAUAUCAAUUACGCCACCAUGUUGUACAGUAUUCACCCAAUCCAGUCAUAUAUCAAUUACACCACCAUGUUGUACAGUAUUCACCCAAUCCAGUCAUAUAUCAAUUACACCACCAUGUCCUACAGUAUUCACCAAAUCCAGUCAUAUAUCAAUUACACCACCAUGUCCUACAGUAUUCACCCAAUCCAGUCAUAUAUCAAUUACACCACCAUGUCCUACAGUAUUCACCCAAUCCAGUCAUAUAUCAAUUACACCACCAUGUCCUACAGUAUUCACCCAAUCCAGUCAUAUAUCAAUUACACCACCAUGUCCUACAGUAUUCACCCAAUCCAGUCAUAUAUCAAUUACACCACCAUGUCCUACAGUAUUCACCCAAUCCAGUCAUAUAUCAAUUACACCACCAUGUCCUACAGUAUUCACCCAAUCCAGUCAUAUAUCAAUUACACCACCAUGUCCUACAGUAUUCACCCAAUCCAGUCAUAUAUCAAUUACACCAUGUCCUACAGUAUUCACCCAAUCCAGUCAUAUAUCAAUUACACCACCAUGUUGUACAGUAUUCACCCAAUCCAGUCAUAUAUCAAUUACACCACCAUGUCCUACAGUAUUCACCCAAUCCAGUCAUAUAUCAAUUACACCACCAUGUCCUACAGUAUUCACCCAAUCCAGUCAUAUAUCAAUUACACCACCAUGUCCUACAGUAUUCACCCAAUCCAGUCAUAUAUCAAUUACACCACCAUGUCCUACAGUAUUCACCCAAUCCAGUCAUAUAUCAAUUACACCACCAUGUCCUACAGUAUUCACCAAAUCCAGUCAUAUAUCAAUUACACCACCUUGUCCUACAGUAUUCACCCAAUCCAGUCAUAUAUCAAUUACUCCACCAUGUCCUACAGUAUUCACCCAAUCCAGUCAUAUAUCAAUUACACCACCAUGUCCUACAGUAUUCACCCAAUCCAGUCAUAUAUCAAUUACACCACCAUGUCCUACAGUAUUCACCCAAUCCAGUCAUAUAUCAAUUACACCACCAUGUCCUACAGUAUUCACCCAAUCCAGUCAUAUAUCAAUUACACCACCAUGUCCUACAGUAUUCACCCAAUCCAGUCAUAUAUCAAUUACACCACCAUGUCCUACAGUAUUCACCCAAUCCAGUCAUAUAUCAAUUACUCCACCAUGUCCUACAGUAUUCACCCAAUCCAGUCAUAUAUCAAUUACACCACCAUGUCCUACAGUAUUCACCCAAUCCAGUCAUAUAUCAAUUACACCACCAUGUCCUACAGUAUUCACCCAAUCCAGUCAUAUAUCAAUUACACCACCAUGUCCUACAGUAUUCACCCAAUCCAGUCAUAUAUCAAUUACACCACCAUGUCCUACAGUAUUCACCCAAUCCAGUCAUAUAUCAAUUACACCACCAUGUCCUACAGUAUUCACCCAAUCCAGUCAUAUAUCAAUUACACCACCAUGUCCUACAGUAUUCACCCAAUCCAGUCAUAUAUCAAUUACACCACCAUGUCCUACAGUAUUCACCCAAUCCAGUCAUAUAUCAAUUACUCCACCAUGUCCUACAGUAUUCACCCAAUCCAGUCAUAUAUCAAUUACACCACCAUGUUAUACAGUAUUCACCCAAUCCAGUCAUAUAUCAAUUACACCACCAUGUCCUACAGUAUUCACCCAAUCCAGUCAUAUAUCAAUUACACCAUGUCCUACAGUAUUCACCCAAUCCAGUCAUAUAUCAAUUACACCACCAUGUCCUACAGUAUUCACCCAAUCCAGUCAUAUAUCAAUUACACCAUGUCCUACAGUAUUCACCCAAUCCAGUCAUAUAUCAAUUACACCAUGUCCUACAGUAUUCACCCAAUCCAGUCAUAUAUCAAUUACACCACCAUGUCCUACAGUAUUCACCCAAUCCAGUCAUAUAUCAAUUACACCACCAUGUCCUACAGUAUUCACCCAAUCCAGUCAUAUAUCAAUUACACCACCAUGUCCUACAGUAUUCACCCAAUCCAGUCAUAUAUCAAUUACACCACCAUGUGUACAGUAUUCACCCAAUCCAGUCAUAUAUCAAUUACACCACCAUGUCCUACAGUAUUCACCCAAUCCAGUCAUAUAUCAAUUACACCACCAUGUCCUACAGUAUUCACCCAAUCCAGUCAUAUAUCAAUUACACCACCAUGUCCUACAGUAUUCACCCAAUCCAGUCAUAUAUCAAUUACACCACCAUGUCCUACAGUAUUCACCCAAUCCAGUCAUAUAUCAAUUACACCACCAUGUCCUACAGUAUUCACCCAAUCCAGUCAUAUAUCAAUUACACCACCAUGUCCUACAGUAUUCACCCAAUCCAGUCAUAUAUCAAUUACACCACCAUGUCCUACAGUAUUCACCCAAUCCAGUCAUAUAUCAAUUACACCACCAUGUGUACAGUAUUCACCCAAUCCAGUCAUAUAUCAAUUACACCACCAUGUGUACAGUAUUCACCCAAUCCAGUCAUAUAUCAAUUACACCACCAUGUUGUACAGUAUUCACCCAAUCCAGUCAUAUAUCAAUUACACCACCAUGUGUACAGUAUUCACCCAAUCCAGUCAUAUAUCAAUUACACCACCAUGUGUACAGUAUUCACCCAAUCCAGUCAUAUAUCAAUUACACCACCAUGUUGUACAGUAUUCACCCAAUCCAGUCAUAUAUCAAUUACACCACCAUGUCCUACAGUAUUCACCCAAUCCAGUCAUAUAUCAAUUACACCAUGUCCUACAGUAUUCACCCAAUCCAGUCAUAUAUCAAUUACACCACCAUGUUGUACAGUAUUCACCCAAUCCAGUCAUAUAUCAAUUACACCACCAUGUCCUACAGUAUUCACCCAAUCCAGUCAUAUAUCAAUUACACCACCAUGUCCUACAGUAUUCACCCAAUCCAGUCAUAUAUCAAUUACACCACCAUGUCCUACAGUAUUCACCCAAUCCAGUCAUAUAUCAAUUACACCACCAUGUCCUACAGUAUUCACCCAAUCCAGUCAUAUAUCAAUUACACCACCAUGUCCUACAGUAUUCACCCAAUCCAGUCAUAUAUCAAUUACACCACCAUGUCCUACAGUAUUCACCCAAUCCAGUCAUAUAUCAAUUACACCACCAUGUCCUACAGUAUUCACCCAAUCCAGUCAUAUAUCAAUUACACCACCAUGUCCUACAGUAUUCACCCAAUCCAGUCAUAUAUCAAUUACACCACCAUGUCCUACAGUAUUCACCCAAAAUACUGUAUUUAUUCACUGUCUGUAAACAUGUGA